UCCAGAGCAGCAGCAGAACAUUUGAGGAUUUGAACAGAAACUCGGAUUCUUCUCAUGAAGCUUUAAUGAACAUUUGUUGGGCGAAAUGUCUCCCGGGACGCUGCAGCCUGCUCCCCGCCUCGGACCGGGACUGAACCGGGACUGAACCGGGUCGGCAGAUCUCAGCUCCCCGCUGCGGAGCUCCAGGCUCCACACACCGACUCUUCCUCUGAGCUCUGACCGACGCAGGAGGGACGGAUGCGGCGUCGCGGUGAUCUGCGUCCUCGGUGAAAAGAAAGACGGGUCAAAGUCCAGAUCUGUGGACUCUGGAUCCUCAGAGCGGCCGAGCAUCUGAUGGAGGAAGCUUCUCUCCGAAGGUUCGUGUGAAUCUCUGAACUCCUGUCGACACCGAGUUGUUUCCGAGAGUCGACCUCCAGCCGCCAUGUUUCUUCCCGACGCCAGUCGAACCUCGC